rnacentral:misc_RNA from 1 species
GAUGAAGAACGUAGUGAAAUGCGAUACGUAGUGUGAAUUGCAGAAUUCCGUGAACCAUCGAAUCUUUGAACGCACAUUGCGCCCCAUGGUAUUCCGUGGGGCAUGCCUGUUCGAGCGUCAUUUACCCCCUCAAGCUCCGCUUGGUGUUGGGCGUCUGUCCCGCUUCGCGCGCGGACUCGCCCCAAAGGUAUUGGCAGCGGUCGUGCCAGCUUCUCGCGCAGCACAUUGCGCUUCUCGAGGCACCGGUGGGCCCGCGUCCAUCAAGCUCACCCCCCCAGUUUGACCUCGGAUCAGGUAGGGAUACCCGCUGAACUUAAGCAUAUCAAUAAGCGGAGGA